rnacentral:rRNA from 1 species
GGAAUCGCUAGUAAUCGCGAGUCAGCAUAUCGCGGUGAAUACGUUCCCGGGUCUUGUACACACCGCCCGUCACACCAUGGGAGUUGGCAACACCCGAAGCCGAUGAGCUAACCCGCAAGGGAGGCAGUUGUCUAAGGUGGGGUUGAUAACUGGGGUGAAGUCGUAACAAGGUACC